rnacentral:rRNA from 1 species
UACGUAGGGUGCAAGCGUUAAUCGGAAUUACUGGGCGUAAAGCGUGCGCAGGCGGCUUUGCAAGACAGAUGUGAAAUCCCCGGGCUUAACCUGGGGAACUGCAUUUGUGACUGCAUGGCUGGAGUGCGGCAGAGGGGGAUGGAAUUCCGCGUGUAGCAGUGAAAUGCGUAGAUAUGCGGAGGAACACCGAUGGCGAAGGCAAUCCCCUGGGCCUGCACUGACGCUCAUGCACGAAAGCGUGGGGAGCAAACAGG